rnacentral:rRNA from 1 species
GAACUGCGAAUGGCUCAUUACACCAGCCUUAAUUUACUUGACCUUGACACCCUACUUGGAUAACUGUGGUAAUUCUAGAGCUAAUACAUGCACCAAAGCUCCAAUCUCCCCAGAGCGGAGCGCAUUUGUUCGCCACAAAACCAAGCGCCUCAGGGCGUUCAGUGUUGACUCAGAACAACUAAGCUGAUCGCACGGUCUUGCACCGGCGACGUGUCUUUCAAGUGUCUGCCUUAUCAACUUUCGAUGGUAGUGUAUCUGACUACCAUGGUGAUGACGGGUAACGGAGGAUAAGGGUUCGACUCCGGAGAAGGGGCCUGAGAAAUGGCCACUACGUCUAAGGAUGGCAGCAGGCGCGCAAAUUACCCACUCUCGACGCGAGGAGGUAGUGACGAGAAAUAACGAGACCGUUCUCAUCUGAGGCCGGUCAUCGGAAUGGGUACAAUUUAAACCCUUUAACGAGUAUCUAUGAGAGGGCAAGUCUGGUGCCAGCAGCCGCGGUAAUUCCAGCUCUCAAAAUGCAUAGAAUUAUUGCUGCGGUUAAAAAGCUCGUAGUUGGAUCUGUGCUGAGCGACCGGUCUGCCCACUGGGCACGCACUGGCUCGCCCGGCUUUCCCUGCCGGUCUCUCUCUGACGUUGGUUUUAACCGGCUGGCGUCAGUGGGCUGGCGAGUUUACUUUGAACAAAUCAGAGUGCUUCAAACAGGCGUCUCGCCUGAAUGUUCGUGCAUGGAAUAAUAGAAGAGGAUCACGGUCCGAUUUUAUUGGUUUUGCUGACCGAGAUAAUGGUUAACAGAGACAAACGGGGCCAUUCGUAUUGCUACGUGAGAGGUGAAAUUCUUGGACCGUAGCAAGACGGACUACAGCGAAAGCAUUUGGCAAGAAUGUCUUCAUUAAUCAAGAACGAAAGUCAGAGGUUCGAAGGCGAUCAGAUACCGCCCUAGUUCUGACCGUAAACGAUGCCAACUAGCGAUCCGCCGGCGGAUUCAUUCGCCCUGGUGGGGAGCUUCCCGGAAACGAAAGUCUUCCGGUUCCGGGGGAAGUAUGGUUGCAAAGCUGAAACUUAAAGGAAUUGACGGAAGGGCACCACCAGGAGUGGAGCCUGCGGCUUAAUUUGACUCAACACGGGGAAACUCACCCGGCCCGGACACCGUAAGGAUUGACAGAUUGAUAGCUUUUUCAUGAUUCGGUGGAUGGUGGUGCAUGGCCGUUCUUAGUUCGUGGAGCGAUUUGUCUGGUUUAUUCCGAUAACGAGCGAGACUCUGGCCUACUAAAUAGUUGGCACAUUGCCACUGUGUGCACAACUUCUUAGAGGGAUUUUCGGUGUUCAGCCGCACGAAAUUGAGCAAUAACAGGUCUGUGAUGCCCUUAGAUGUCCGGGGCUGCACGCGCGCUACACUGGCAAAAUCAGCGUGCUUGUCCUCCCCCGAAAGGGGUUGGUAAACCGAUGAAAAUUUGCCGUGAUUGGGAUCGGACAUUGCAAUUAUUGUCCGUGAACGAGGAAUCCCUUGUAAGGGCGAGUCAUCAACUCGUCCUGAAUACGUCCCUGCCCUUUGUACACACCGCCCGUCGCUGCCCGGGACUGAGCCAUUUCGAGAAAACCGGGGAUUGUUGGCCUGACGGCUCUCGGGUCGUCUAGCCGAUGAGAACCGGCUUAAUCGCACUGGUUUGAACCGGGCAAAAGUCGUAACAAGGUAGCUGUAGGUGAACCUGCGGCUGAUCA